UAUAGUGAGUGGAUAAGGAGAGUGCUAGUCUAGGUGGUAUAGUGAGUGGAUAAGGAGAGUGCUAAUCUAGGUGGUAUAGUGAGUGAAUAAGGAGAGUGCUAGUCUAGGUGGUAUAGUGAGUGGAUAAGGAGAGUGCUCGUCUAGGUGGUAUAGUGAGUGGAUAAGGAGAGUGCUAGUCUAGGUGGUAUAGUGAGUGGAUAAGGAGAGUGCUAAUCUAGGUGGUAUAGUGAGUGAAUAAGGAGAGUGCUAGUCUAGGUGGUAUAGUGAGUGGAUAAGGAGAGUGCUCGUCUAGGUGGUAUAGUGAGUGGAUAAGGAGAGUGCUAGUCUAGGUGGUAUAGUGAGUGGAUAAGGAGAGUGCUAGUCUAGGUGGUAUAGUGAGUGGAUAAGGAGAGUGCUAGUCUAGGUGGUAUA